UUACGCUCAGAUCACAAUGAAAACACCGGUUCUCGUUCGAUCACCGAAGUUAAGCAUCGUAGAGCCAGGUCACUUCUUAGAUGGGGGGCGCUUGGGAACUCCUGGUAUUGUAAG
rnacentral:rRNA from 1 species